rnacentral:tRNA from 1 species
GCCUGGGUGGCUCAGUGGUUGAGCAUCUGCCUUUGGCUCAGGGUAUGAUCCUGAAGUUCAGGAUCGAGUCCUGCAUCGGGCU